rnacentral:rRNA from 1 species
CUCAGGACGAACGCUGGCGGCAUGCCUAACACAUGCAAGUCGAACGGAGUUUUCCCUCGGGGGAAAACUUAGUGGCGAACGGGUGAGUAACGCGUGAGCAACCUGCCUUGGCAGGGGGAUAACACUUGGAAACAGGUGCUAAUACCGCAUAAGACCACACUUCCGCAUGGGAGAGGGGUCAAAGGAGCAAUCCGCGCUGAGAGGGGCUCGCGUCCCAUUAGGUAGAUGGCGGGGCAACGGCCCACCAUGCCGACGAUGGGUAGCCGAGCUGAGAGGCUGAUCGGCCACACUGGAACUGAGACACGGUCCAGACUCCUACGGGAGGCAGCAGUGGGGAAUAUUGGGCAAUGGGCGAAAGCCUGACCCAAGCAAUGCCGCGUGAGGGAUGAAGGUCUUCGGAUUGUAAACCUCUGUCCUUGGUGACGAAGGAAGUGACGGUAGCCAAGGAGGAAGCCCCGGCUAACUACGUGCCAGCCGCUGC